ACUCUCUCAGCUCUGCCCAGUUGCCCCUGACCUCAGUGGGGCAACUGACGUUUUUCGAGAGGGAAAGCGAACCGGCUUUCUGUAUGCACGGCAGUGGGGCCUGGCAAGUGGCCCCCCUGUUCCUUUGGAGAGCUAACAAGU